GGAGAGGUGGGUGAGAGGCUUAAACCAGCGGUUUGCUAAACCGCCGUAGGGUUAAUACCCCUACCACGGGUUCGAAUCCCGUCCUCUCCGCCA
rnacentral:tRNA from 1 species